AUUGAACGCUGGCGGCAGGCCUAACACAUGCAAGUCGAGCGGUAGCACAGAGAGCUUGCUCUCGGGUGACGAGCGGCGGACGGGUGAGUAAUGUCUGGGAAACUGCCUGAUGGAGGGGGAUAACUACUGGAAACGGUAGCUAAUACCGCAUAACGUCGCAAGACCAAAGUGGGGGACCUUCGGGCCUCAUGCCAUCAGAUGUGCCCAGAUGGGAUUAGCUAGUAGGUGGGGUAACGGCUCACCUAGGCGACGAUCCCUAGCUGGUCUGAGAGGAUGACCAGCCACACUGGAACUGAGACACGGUCCAGACUCCUACGGGAGGCAGCAGUGGGGAAUAUUGCACAAUGGGCGCAAGCCUGAUGCAGCCAUGCCGCGUGUGUGAAGAAGGCCUUCGGGUUGUAAAGCACUUUCAGCGGGGAGGAAGGCGGUGAGGUUAAUAACCUCAUCGAUUGACGUUACCCGCAGAAGAAGCACCGGCUAACUCCGUGCCAGCAGCCGCGGUAAUACGGAGGGUGCAAGCGUUAAUCGGAAUUACUGGGCGUAAAGCGCACGCAGGCGGUCUGUCAAGUCGGAUGUGAAAUCCCCGGGCUCAACCUGGGAACUGCAUUCGAAACUGGCAGGCUAGAGUCUUGUAGAGGGGGGUAGAAUUCCAGGUGUAGCGGUGAAAUGCGUAGAGAUCUGGAGGAAUACCGGUGGCGAAGGCGGCCCCCUGGACAAAGACUGACGCUCAGGUGCGAAAGCGUGGGGAGCAAACAGGAUUAGAUACCCUGGUAGUCCACGCCGUAAACGAUGUCGAUUUGGAGGUUGUGCCCUUGAGGCGUGGCUUCCGGAGCUAACGCGUUAAAUCGACCGCCUGGGGAGUACGGCCGCAAGGUUAAAACUCAAAUGAAUUGACGGGGGCCCGCACAAGCGGUGGAGCAUGUGGUUUAAUUCGAUGCAACGCGAAGAACCUUACCUGGUCUUGACAUCCACAGAACUUUCCAGAGACGGAUUGGUGCCUUCGGGAACUGUGAGACAGGUGCUGCAUGGCUGUCGUCAGCUCGUGUUGUGAAAUGUUGGGUUAAGUCCCGCAACGAGCGUAACCCUUAUCCUUUGUUGCCAGCGGUCCGGCCGGGAACUCAAAGGAGACUGCCAGUGAUAAACUGGAGGAAGGUGGGGAUGACGUCAAGUCAUCAUGGCCCUUACGACCAGGGCUACACACGUGCUACAAUGGCAUAUACAAAGGGAAGCGACCUCGCGAGAGCAAGCGGACCUCAUAAAGUAUGUCGUAGUCCGGAUUGGGGUCUGCAACUCGACUCCAUGAAGUCGGAAUCGCUAGUAAUCGUAGAUCAGAAUGCUACGGUGAAUACGUUCCCGGGCCU
rnacentral:rRNA from 1 species